CUUCUUCCUUCCUUCCUUCCUUCCUUCCUUCCUUCCUUCUUUCCUUUCUUUCUUUUUCUUUCUUUCUUUCUUUCUUUCUCUCUUUCUUUCUUUCUCUCUCUUUCUUUCUUUCUUUCUCUUCUUUCUUUCUUCUUUCUUUCUUUCUUUCUUUCCACCUAUGCAGCUGCUUUCUUGAAGUGUUGAGAGUGAUAUUAUUCUAGAAUCUA
rnacentral:lncRNA from 1 species